UACGUAGGGUGCGAGCGUUAAUCGGAAUUACUGGGCGUAAAGCGUGCGCAGGCGGUUCUCCAAGUCCGUUGUGAAAGCCCCGGGCUCAACCUGGGAAUGGCAGUGGAAACUAGGGGACUGGAAUCUGGCAGAGGGGGGUGGAAUGCCGCGUGUAGCAGUGAAAUGCGCAGAGAUGCGGCGGAACACCGAUGGCGAAGGCAGCCCCCUGGGCUGAGAUUGACGCUCAGGCACGAAAGCGUGGGGAGCAAACAGG
rnacentral:rRNA from 1 species